GUGCUGGAUGAUGUGUGUGUGUGAGUGCUGGAUGAUGGGUGUGUGUGCUGGAUGAUGUGUGUGUGUGUGCUGGAUGAUGUGUGUGCUGGAUGAUGUGUGUGAGUGCUGGAUGAUGGGUGUUUGUGUGAGUGCUGGAUGAUGGGUGUGUGAGUGCUGGAUGAUGGGUGUUUGUGUGAGUGCUGGAUGAUGGGUGUUUGUGUGAGUGCUGGAUGAUGGGUGUGUGAGUGCUGGAUGAUGGGUGUGUGAGUGAUGGAUGAUGUGUGUGUGUGUGCUGGAUGAUGGGUGUGUGAGUGAUGGAUGAUGGGUGUGUGUGUGCUGGAUGAUGUGUGUGUGUGUGCUGGAUGAUGGGUGUGUGUGUGCUGGAUGAUGGGUCUGUGUGUGCUGGAUGAUGGGUGUGUGAGUGCUGGAUGAUGGGUGUUUGUGUGCUGGAUGAUGGGUGUGUGUGUGCUGGAUGAUGGGUGUGUGAGUGCUGG